AGUGAAGCGGGAUGAGCUCAAAUUUAAAAUCUGGCUGGUUUACUAGUCCGAAUUGUAGUUUAAAGAAGCGUUUUCGGUGGCAGCCUGGGUAUAAAUCCUUUGGAAUAGGGUAUCAUAGAGGGUGAGAAUCCCGUCUUUGACUCAGUGAAUGCUACUAUGUGAUACGUUUUCAAAGAGUCGAGUUGUUUGGGAAUGCAGCUCAAAAUGGGUGGUAAAUUUCAUCUAAAGCUAAAUAUUGGCGAGAGACCGAUAGCGAACAAGUACCGUGAGGGAAAGAUGAAAAGAACUUUGAAAAGAGAGUUAAACAGUACGUGAAAUUGUUGAAAGGGAAACGUUUGACACCAGUCAUGCGGGUGGAAAAUCAGUCUUUUAGAGUAGGGAGUGGUGGGGGUUCGGACCGCAAGGCUGGCCUUUAUCUCAUCUCUGCACUAAUGGAUGCACUUUUUCAUUUGCAGGUCAACAUCAGUUUCUUCUGCUGGACAAAACUCCGAGAGAAGGUAGCAGCUUUGGCUGUGUUAUAGCUCUGGAGCGAUACAGUGGAGGGGACUGAGGUUUUCGCAGUGUGUGCUCUCGGGCAAGGUUGAUUAGGUGCUAUGUGAUCGUUCGGUGUACAAUGCAUGCAUUUUGCGCUGUGUCUUUUGCAUACUCGCCUGACUCGACUCUUCCACGCUUAGGAUGUUGACUUAAUGGUUUUAAACGACC
rnacentral:rRNA from 2 species